rnacentral:rRNA from 1 species
GACGAACGCUGGCGGCGUGCUUAACACAUGCAAGUCGAACGGAAAGGCCCUGCUUUUGUGGGGUGCUCGAGUGGCGAACGGGUGAGUAACACGUGAGUAACCUGCCCUUGACUUUGGGAUAACUUCAGGAAACUGGGGCUAAUACCGGAUAGGAGCUCCUGCUGCAUGGUGGGGGUUGGAAAGUUUCGGCGGAUGGGGAUGGACUCGCGGCUUAUCAGCUUGUUGGUGGGGUAGCGGCUUACCAAGGCUUUGACGGGUAGCCGGCCUGAGAGGGUGACCGGCCACAUUGGGACUGAGAUACGGCCCAGACUCCUACGGGAGGCAGCAGUGGGGAAUAUUGCACAAUGGGCGGAAGCCUGAUGCAGCAACGCCGCGUGCGGGAUGACGGCCUUCGGGUUGUAAACCGCUUUCGCCUGUGACGAAGCGUGAGUGACGGUAAUGGGUAAAGAAGCACCGGCUAACUACGUG